ACUCCUAACUACGUAUUAUAAUAUUUUAUAUUAAUGAAGUACUUUAGCAUACAUUAUGAGCCUGAAUAAAGCUUUUUAUUAAAUAUUCACAAGAUUGAAGGAGAAAUUCUUUAUAGUUAGGAAAUGAUUUUUUCAUAAACAAUAAAUAGCUUUGAAAAUAUAAAAAAAAAUUUAGGGCUGGGUGCAGAGGCUCAUGCCUGUAAUCCCAGCACUCUGAGAGGCCGAGGCGGGUGGAUCACUUGAGGUGAGGAGUUCAAGAUCAGCAUGGCCAACAUGGUGAAACUCCACCUCCACGAAAAAUACAAAAAUUAGCCAGGCAUGGUGGCAUGCGCCUGUAAUCCUAGCUACUUGGGUGGCUGAGGCAUGAGACUCACUUGAACCUGGGAGGCAGAGGUUGCAGCAGUGAGCCGAGAUCAAGCCGCUGCACUCCAGCUGGGGCGACAAAGCAAGACUGUCUCAAAAAAUAAAAACAAAAAAAUUAAAAUAAAAUCCUAACUUUCCUAGUUAGAAAUAUAAUUAACUUUUAUUGGCUAUUAGUAGCUAAAAUUGCCCUUAUUUUUGCUUCUGUGGCCUCAUUUUUUUUCUCGGUUAUUCAGUAUUUAAAUUAUGGCUUAGAUGUCUUCAAUGCUAUAGUCCUAAAAAUUAAUGAUCUACGUUGUGCAGCAGUGAUGGGAUCUGAUAAACUGA
rnacentral:lncRNA from 1 species